AUUGAACGCUGGCGGCAGGCCUAACACAUGCAAGUCGAGCGGAUGAAGGGAGCUUGCUCCUGGAUUCAGCGGCGGACGGGUGAGUAAUGCCUAGGAAUCUGCCUGGUAGUGGGGGAUAACGUCCGGAAACGGGCGCUAAUACCGCAUACGUCCUGAGGGAGAAAGUGGGGGAUCUUCGGACCUCACGCUAUCAGAUGAGCCUAGGUCGGAUUAGCUAGUUGGUGGGGUAAAGGCCUACCAAGGCGACGAUCCGUAACUGGUCUGAGAGGAUGAUCAGUCACACUGGAACUGGGACCCGGCCCAGACUCCUACGGGAGGCAGGAGUGGGGAAUUUGGGACAAGGGGAGAAAGCCUGAUCCAGCCAUGCCGGGGGUGUGAAGAAGGUCUUCGGAUUGUAAAGCACUUUAAGUUGGGGGGAAGGGCAGUAAGUUAAUACCUUGCUGUUUUGACGUUACCAACAGAAUAAGCACCGGCUAACUUCGU
rnacentral:rRNA from 1 species